CUGCUGGUAGAGAAUCAGAGGCUUGUAGAUGUCUUUGCCACUUCCACGGGAUCUCUGGGAGCUGGAAACUGAGCUUUAAGAAAUAACUAUAGUGCAAAGGGAACUAAGGGAAAAGGGUUCAGCCCAAAGCAGAAGGGACUGUGAUGAUCACAGUGACCUCCUGAGGCCAGCAUGGUGGUAGCAGCCAGAGACAGCAGCUGAGUGAGACCCUAAGGGAGGGAUGAGCCAGGCAGUGUGUGGUUGGAGUUCUCCCUACACAUCUCGUUUUCCUCACCUCCAGAUCACACACAUGCACACACACAUAUGCACCCACACACCCCUUACACACUCCGGCCCGAAGGUUUCUGCAGGACUCCUUCCUGGCACUCUCUCCAGUGCUGCCAGCGUCGCACCACACUGCAAGGCUUUGCAAACUUUCCUUCCAAAGUGAAGGAGACCCUCUGGCCAUCUGAGGCUCGGUCUGAAGCAACAGCCUCAGAGCGCAAUCUCAGGCAUGCAGGAAGUGCAGGAAGGCCACGUGCCACAUACGUUAUCUCACUUAAUCUCAUUAGCAGGAAAUGUCUUUAAAGUCUUAUGUUGGUGCUUAAAAAUUCCUGAGCAGUUUAGCCCUUAAUAAAGCCAGGCUUUUUAAAAUUUGAA
rnacentral:lncRNA from 1 species